rnacentral:RNase_P_RNA from 1 species
GCAGCUUCAAUCUAGCGGUAGGGGUGUGCAUGCAAGGUACUCGGUUACCACUAUUUCACCCCGGGAAGGUCUGAGAUAAAAUCCUUGCACGUUCUAGCCGGACGGUACCAUAAGGGUACGUACGGGAACCAGAAACAGCUUUGCGUUAUUAAUUAGCCGGGGAAGCUUCAUUAGAAGCUGAGGUGCUUGGUAAUGUAAAGAUGGAAACCCGUAUGAUUCGCUAUUUGAGUACAAUCCGCAAGCCAGAACAUUUAUGUUCUGGAACUCAAUUCAGACUAAUCUGAGGCUGC